UCAAAAGAAAAUCCCACAAUUUUCUCUCACCUCAAUCCGAUUUCUUUGCUCUCUCAAAAAAGAAAUCCAUAAAAUCUCAUCUCUCUUUCAAAUUCAUAGUUUCUCUCAUCCCGAUUUUUUCACUCAUCAUCUAAGAUCAAAUCCGCCGUCUCUCUCACACUAAUCAACCAAUCGGAUCCAUCUACCCAGGUAUUUAGUUUGUACAUGAGAGCUAGAGAGAGGCAGAGCCAGUAUCGUGUCCGCUACUUCUUUUCCAACCGUCCACCGUUACCUUCGUUGCACUGUUGUCUACAGCAUUAGUUCUUUAGCCUUUACUGUCGUCGUCCUGGCUUUGGCCGAAAUCAUUGCCCCGUGAGCUGCCCCAAGCUGCCAUCGAAAACCCUCAAAACAAGUUUUUUUGGUUGAUUUUUUGAGGUUUGGUUUUUAAGUGUUAUUUUUCUAUGGGUACCCUAAUUUUUUCUUGUUUGGUUAUAGGUGUUGUUUGCUUAUUUUGAGCUCUACACUCUUUGCUAGGAAUACUAAAGAUGGGCGCUCAAUAAUUUGGUAAGAACUUACCCAUUGUUCUGGGUCCGGCUUUUUUUUUUUUUUGGUUGUGAAUUUUGAGUUAAUUAUUUUGGGGUUGCAGAGCAAUCUUUAAAAAUCUAUGCAAUGGUGUAUCCUGGAAUGAAACCAAAAAAAGAGUUGAGGUUUAUGUUUGGAGUCAUUCUAGGACAUAUUGGAUUUACUGAUUCCCUAAUGUUCUUUUUCUUUUUCUUUUAUGCAAUGCA
rnacentral:lncRNA from 1 species